rnacentral:rRNA from 1 species
CCUACGGGAGGCAGCAGUGGGGAAUAUUGCACAAUGGGGGAAACCCUGAUGCAGCGACGCCGCGUGAGUGAAGAAGUAUUUCGGUAUGUAAAGCUCUAUCAGCAGGAACGAGACAAGACGGUACCUGACUAAGAAGCCCCGGCUAACUACGUGCCAGCAGCCGCGGUAAUACGUAGGGGGCAAGCGUUAUCCGGAAUCACUGGGUGUAAAGGGAGCGUAGACGGCUGUGCAAGCCUGAAGUGAAAGGCGGGGGACCAAGCCCUGGACUGCUUUGGGAACUGUACGGCUGGAGUGCAGGAGAGGUAAGUGGAAUUACUAGGGUAGCGGUGAAAUGCGUAGAUAUUAGGAGGAACACCAGUGGCGAAGGCGGCUUACUGGACUGUAACUGACGUUGAGGCUCGAAAGCGUGGGGAGCAAACAGGAUUAGAUACCCUGGUAGUC